rnacentral:rRNA from 1 species
AGCGAACGCUGGCGGUAGGCCUAACACAUGCAAGUCGAACGGCAGCACAGUAAGAGCUUGCUCUUACGGGUGGCGAGUGGCGGACGGGUGAGGAAUACAUCGGAAUCUACUUUUUCGUGGGGGAUAACGUAGGGCAACUUACGCUAAUACAGCAUACGACCUACGGGUGAAAGCAGGGGUUCUUCGGACCUUGCGAGAUCGAAUGAGCCGAUGUCGGAUUAGCUAGUUGGCGGGGUAAAGGCCCACAAAGGCGACGAUCCGUAGCUGGUCUGAGAGGAUGAUCGCCAACAUGGGAACUGAGACACGGCCCAGACACUUAGGGGAGGCAGCGGAGGGGAAUCUUGGACAAGGGGGGCAAGCCGGAUCCAGCAAGACGGCGUAGGCGAGGAAGGCCUUCGGUCGGUAAAGCCCUUUUGUUGGGAAAGAAGUGCAGCAGGUUAAUACGCCCAUGUACUGACGGUACCCAAAGAAUAAGCACCGGCUAACUUCGUG